CGGGGGAAAAAUUUAUUGCUAUUAGAUGAGCCUAUAUUAGAUUAGCUAGUUGGUGGGGUAAUAGCCUACCAAGGUAAUGAUCUAUAGCUGAUCUGAGAGGAUGAUCAGCCACACUGGAACUGAGAUACGGUCCAGACUCCUACGGGAGGCAGCAGUGGGGAAUAUUGGACAAUGGGCGAAAGCCUGAUCCAGCCAUGCCGCAUGAGUGAAGAAGGCCUUUGGGUUGUAAAGCUCUUUUAGUGAGGAAGAUAAUGACGGUACUCACAGAAGAAGUCCUGGCUAACUCCGUGCCAGCAGCCGCGGUAAUACGGAGAGGGCUAGCGUUAUUCGGAAUUAUUGGGCGUAAAGGGCGCGUAGGCUGGUUAAUAAGUUAAAAGUGAAAUCCCGAGGCUUAACCUUGGAAUUGCUUUUAAAACUAUUAAUCUAGAGAUUGAAAGAGGAUAGAGGAAUUCCUGAUGUAGAGGUAAAAUUCGUAAAUAUUAGGAGGAACACCAGUGGCGAAGGCGUCUAUCUGGUUCAAAUCUGACGCUGAAGCGCGAAGGCGUGGGGAGCAAACAGGAUUAGAUACCCUGGUAGUCCACGCUGUAAACGAUGAAUGUUAAAUAUGGGGAGUUUACUUUCUGUAUUACAGCUAACGCGUUAAACAUUCCGCCUGGGGACUACGGUCGCAAGAUUAAAACUCAAAGGAAUUGACGGGGACCCGCACAAGCGGUGGAGCAUGUGGUUUAAUUCGAUGCAACGCG
rnacentral:rRNA from 1 species